CCUCCCUGUCGUGUGAUGUGCAUAUCUCUAUAAAAUGAACUAGCCAGCCCUAUUUUAUUUACAAAAGAACUCUCUUUCCUCAUGCAUUUGUAUGAAUAUUUAUAGAUACAGCCAGCAGCCCUUUGGGAGUAGGAGUCCAAAAAAAAAUCCAACCAAUUAUACAAUUAUAUUCUUGAAUCCCAAUUGAGGUCCAAUUACUUUAUACUUUUCUUCGACCCUCUUCUCUUUUAAAAUAGUGCAAUUUAGUCCUUCUCAUCAUUGUUCCAUCACUUUUGAUUCUCCAACUUUUAUUCAAGUGAGAUUUGGUCCACAACAUCUAUUUAAUAGCUAAUUAAUCAUUUUCUUUCUCAAUUGCUUCAAAACGGGUCAAACAC
rnacentral:lncRNA from 1 species